AGAGUUUGAUCCUGGCUCAGGACGAACGCUGGCGGCGUGCUUAACACAUGCAAGUCGAACGGAAAGGCCUGCCACCUUUGGUGGUGGGUACUCGAGUGGCGAACGGGUGAGUAACACGUGGGUGAUCUGCCCCGCACUGUGGGAUAAGCCUGGGAAACUGGGUCUAAUACCACAUACGACCAUGGCGUAGGGGUCAUGGUGGAAAGCUUUUGCGGUGUGGGAUGAGCCCGCGGCCUAUCAGCUUGUUGGUGGGGUAAUGGCCUACCAAGGCGGCGACGGGUAGCCGGCCUGAGAGGGUGGACGGCCACAUUGGGACUGAGACACGGCCCAGACUCCUACGGGAGGCAGCAGUGGGGAAUAUUGCACAAUGGGCGCAAGCCUGAUGCAGCGACGCCGCGUGGGGGAUGACGGCCUUCGGGUUGUAAACUCCUUUCGCCCGGGACGAAGCCCACCUGGUGGGUGACGGUACCGUGGAGAAGAAGCACCGGCUAACUACGUGCCAGCAGCCGCGGUAAUACGUAGGGUGCAAGCGUUGUCCGGAUUUACUGGGCGUAAAGAGCUCGUAGGUGGUGUGUCGCGUCGUCUGUGAAAUUCCGGGGCUUAACUCCGGGCGUGCAGGCGAUACGGGCACGACUAGAGUGCUGUAGGGGUAACUGGAAUUCCUGGUGUAGCGGUGAAAUGCGCAGAUAUCAGGAGGAACACCGAUGGCGAAGGCAGGUUACUGGGCAGUUACUGACGCUGAGGAGCGAAAGCAUGGGGAGCGAACAGGAUUAGAUACCCUGGUAGUCCAUGCUGUAAACGGUGGGCGCUAGGUGUGGGCUGUGUGUUUGCAGUCUGUGCCGUAGCUAACGCAUUAAGCGCCCCGCCUGGGGAGUACGGCCGCAAGGCUAAAACUCAAAGGAAUUGACGGGGGC
rnacentral:rRNA from 1 species